GUACACGCUGUGACUAGCAUAUCAAUAAGCGGAGGAAAAGAAACUAACAAGGAUUCCCCUAGUAACGGCGAGUGAAGCGGGAAGAGCUCAAAUUUGAAAUCUUAAAGGGUUUUCCCUUUACGAAUUGUAGUUUAAAGAAGUGUUUUCUGUUGAGGUUUUGGUAAAAGUUCUUUGGAAUAGGACAUCAUAGAGGGUGAGAAUCCCGUAUUUGACCUUUACUUUCAACUUUGUGAUACACUUUCAAAGAGUCGGAUUGUUUGGGAAUGCAGUCCAAAAUGGGUGGUAAAUUUCAUCUAAAGCUAAAUAUUGGCGAGAGACCGAUAGCGAACAAGUACCGUGAGGGAAAGAUGAAAAGAACUUUGAAAAGAGAGUUAAACAGUACGUGAAAUUGUCAAAAGGGAAGCGUUUGACACCAGUGUUGUUUUUCUGAAAAUCAAUUAAAGAACUGUUUAUGCUAAGCUGUUUAGACUUUAUCAGCUAUCUGUUUAGUUUUAGGCUUUUCUUUAAUGCACUUUUCAGUUAACAAGUCAACAUCAAUUUCUUUUGCUGUAAAAAAGCUUGAGGAAGGUGGCUUGAGAUUCGUCUUAAGUGUUUAUAGCCUCUUGCCUAUGCAGUCGGAGAGAUUGAGGUCUGCAGCGUAGAUCCUUCGGGGCUAAAUGCAUUUGUGCUAAGUUAUAGCAUUUUAUAGACAACUUGUUGACUAUGAUUUGUCUUGUAGCUUACUCGCUUAUGUUAUUUUACCUACGCUUAGGAUGUUGAGUCGUAGAGCACGCAG
rnacentral:rRNA from 1 species